UGCCUUUACGAUGAGCCGGCGGCGCAUUAGCUUAUCGGUGGGGUAAAGGCCUACCAAGGCAAUGAUGCGUAGCCUAGCUGAAAGACUGAGCGGCCACAUUGCGACUGAAACGCGGCCCAGACUCCUACGGCUAGGCAGCAGCUACGGAAUCUUCCACAAUGGACGCGGACGCUGAUGGAGCAGCGCCGCGCGAGUGAAGAAGAGUUAUUGCGAUCGUAAAGCUCUAGUUGUUGGUGAAGAAGGAUAAAGGGCAGUAACUGAUCUGUAUUUGACGGUAAUCGACCAGAAAGUCACGGCUAACUACGUCGCCAUCACCCGCGGUAAUACGUAAGUGGCAAGCGUUGUCCGGAUUUAUUGGGCGUAACGCGAGCGCAGGCCGAAUGAUAAGUCUGAUGUGAAAGCCCACCGCUCAACCGAGCAACUGCAUUGCAUACUGUAAUGCUUGACUGCAGAACAGGACAGUGGAACUCCAUGUGUAGCGUAGCAAUGCAUAGAUAUAUGGUAUAACACCACUGGCGAAGGCAGCUCUCUGGUCUGCAACUGACGCUGAGGCUCGACAGCAUGGCUUGCGAACAGGAUUAGAUACCAUGCUAUUC
rnacentral:rRNA from 1 species